GCCUGGAACACAGCAGAGUAGAUAGACAGCAGUAAACAGUCGUGCUCAGAACUACUGUGCAUUAAGAGCCAACACACCUUGGUACGGCUUUUUCCUUCAGCACUAUGGCAGGUCUUGGUAUAAGGACAGUAAAGGAGUGUAAACCCUCUUCAGACGCCGUGUGUGGAGCCCUGGAAGGAAACUAUUGUAUUGAUCCUUAUGAGGGAGGAUGUAGAGCAGCACAGAAACACACAAUCUGCAAACCUGGACAGUUCAUCAAAUAUCCCGGAACAGAGUCUACUGACACUAUGUGAGGAUUGCUCUGAACAGUCCUACUCAAAUGGAUCUUCUGCAUCCUGUACACCACACACACAGAGGUCAUGGCGGCAACAGGGAGAGCAGAGAAGCCUAG